GAUGAAGAACGUAGUGAAAUGCGAUAAGUAAUGUGAAUUGCAGAAUUCAGUGAAUCAUCGAAUCUUUGAACGCACCUUGCGCUCCUUGGUAUUCCGAGGAGCAUGCCUGUUUGAGUGUCAUUAAAUUCUCAACCUCACCAACUUUGUUGUGUCCAGGCUUGGAUGUGGGGGUUGCAGGUCCACUCUCGUGGUCUGCUCCUCUGAAAUGUAUUAGUGGGUUGUGCCCCUAAUCUAUUGGUGUGAUAAUUAUCUACGCCGUGGAUUGGGUUGGUUACUUGAAGACCUGCUUCUAACCGUCCCUUGGACAACUUUUGACAAUUUUGACCUCAAAUCAGGCAAGACUACCCGCUGAACUUAAGCAUAUCAAUAAGCGGAGGA
rnacentral:misc_RNA from 1 species